UCCCAUGAUCCCACCUACCCAUUGAUCUCUCCCUCCCUCUUCUCUCUAUCCACCGUGACUGCAGCGCCCAUCGGUCUCUCCUUCUUCUGCUUCAUCCUCUUUCUCUCCCACCCUCUCUUCUCCCACUGCAGCCGCCUACAACCUCGUUCUCCACCGCGCUUCCGGUCCCGGCCGCCGCCGCCGCGCAGGAGGGCGCCGACUCCUUCUCUCCCGCCAACCCCGCCCCCCUUCUCUCCCUCCUCUCCUCUCUCUCCGCCGGCCACGGCCUGCUGCUCCCCAUCGGCUUCCGUGCGCCGGCCUGCUGCUCCCCGCCGACCGACCUCCUCCGACGACGCCGCUCCUCCGAAGAUGGUCCCUGACGCCACCGACCACCCGACCACGCGCAGAUCCGCCCCCCAUCGGCCUCCCCGCCGGUGGAUCCACAAUCCCCGAGCACGUCCACCACCGGAUCCACGUCCAAAACCCCGCGCGGCGCUGGAUCCGCCGCCCCCGAGCACACCUGCCGCCAGAUCCGCCUCCGUCGAUCUUGAUUUCUCUGUGGCCGGCUCUCGAGAAGCAAUUUUGGCAAGCGUGGCGAGCAGAUUUAAUUCGGUGAUUUGUUUGGGUAUAAAUUUGUAUAUAGGAUCUGUAUGCAUCUCUACUGCUGGAUUUACUGAUUGUUGUGGUGUCCAAAAUACGCUUAUAUACAUAUUUGCUUUGAUUUGUGAUUUGGUGAACCGAUGAACUCGCGGGCCGUGUGGCGUGCCUUUUUUUAAAAAAUGUAAAAA